rnacentral:lncRNA from 1 species
CGAGCAAGUCCUUAAAUAGAUAAAAAAAUUGGCCCAUAAGCCCAAUAUGCCAAUGCUCAAUGCCCUUACUUAGGGCAAGCAAGCGCCCAUGCGAGAAGACUGGCGCUCAAGGCCUCUCAAAGGGCAAGCAGGUGCUCUACGACAAGUCUGGAUAGUGCUCAGCCCCCCUCAAUGGGCAAGCAGGCUUGGGCGAAUGGCGUUGAGGGCCCCUGAAAGGGGCAAGCAAGUCUCCUGCAUGACAUGUAGCGCUGAGGGCCCCAGAAAAGGGCAACUAGACGC